AUUGAACGCUGGCGGCAGGCCUAACACAUGCAAGUCGAACGGUAACAGAAAGCAGCUUGCUGCUUUGCUGACGAGUGGCGGACGGGUGAGUAAUGUCUGGGAAACUGUCUGAUGGAGGGGGAUAACUACUGGAAACGGUAGCUAAUACCGCAUAACGUCGCAAGACCAAAGAGGGGGACCUUCGGGCCUCUUGCCAUCGGAUGUGCCCAGAUGGGAUUAGCUAGUAGGUGGGGUAACGGCUCACCUAGGCGACGAUCCCUAGCUGGUCUGAGAGGAUGACCAGCCACACUGGAACUGAGACACGGUCCAGACUCCUACGGGAGGCAGCAGUGGGGAAUAUUGCACAAUGGGCGCAAGCCUGAUGCAGCCAUGCCGCGUGUAUGAAGAAGGCCUUCGGGUUGUAAAGUACUUUCAGCGGGGAGGAAGGGAGUAAAGUUAAUACCUUUGCUCAUUGACGUUACCCGCAGAAGAAGCACCGGCUAACUCCGUG
rnacentral:rRNA from 1 species